AGAUUAAGUUAUUAAGGGCGCACGGUGGAUGCCUUGGCACUAGAAGCCGAUGAAGGACGUUACUAACGACGAUAUGCUUUGGGGAGCUGUAAGUAAGCUUUGAUCCAGAGAUUUCCGAAUGGGGAAACCCAGCAUGAGUUAUGUCAUGUUAUCGAUAUGUGAAUACAUAGCAUAUCAGAAGGCACACCCGGAGAACUGAAACAUCUUAGUACCCGGAGGAAGAGAAAGAAAAUUCGAUUCCCUUAGUAGCGGCGAGCGAAACGGGAAGAGCCCAAACCAACAAGCUUGCUUGUUGGGGUUGUAGGACACUCUAUACGGAGUUACAAAGGACGACAUUAGACGAAUCAUCUGGAAAGAUGAAUCAAAGAAGGUAAUAAUCCUGUAGUCGAAAAUGUUGUCUCUCUU
rnacentral:rRNA from 1 species